rnacentral:rRNA from 1 species
GACGAACGCUGGCGGCGUGCCUAAUACAUGCAAGUCGAACGCACUCUCGUUUAGAUUGAAGGAGCUUGCUCCUGAUUGAUAAACAUUUGAGUGAGUGGCGGACGGGUGAGUAACACGUGGGUAACCUGCCCUAAAGUGGGGGAUAACAUUUGGAAACAGAUGCUAAUACCGCAUAAAACCUAACACCGCAUGGUGUAGGGUUGAAAGAUGGUUUCGGCUAUCACUUUAGGAUGGACCCGCGGUGCAUUAGUUAGUUGGUGAGGUAAAGGCUCACCAAGACCGUGAUGCAUAGCCGACCUGAUAGGGUAAUCGGCCACACUGGGACUGAGACACGGCCCAGACUCCUACGGGAGGCAGCAGUAGGGAAUCUUCCACAAUGGACGAAAGUCUGAUGGAGCAACGCCGCGUGAGUGAAGAAGGUUUUCGGAUCGUAAAACUCUGUUGUUGGAGAAGAAUGUAUCUGAUAGUAACUGAUCAGGUAGUGACGGUAUCCAACCAGAAAAGCCC